UACGUAGGUGGCAAGCGUUGUCCGGAUUUACUGGGCGUAAAGGAUGCGUAGGCGGACAUUUAAGUCAGAUGUGAAAUACCCGAGCUUAACUUGGGUGCUGCAUUUGAAACUGGGUGUCUAGAGUGCAGGAGAGGUAAGUGGAAUUCCUGGUGUAGCGGUGAAAUGCGUAGAGAUUAGGAAGAACACCAGUGGCGAAGGCGACUUACUGGACUGUAACUGACGCUGAGGCAUGAAAGCGUGGGGAGCAGACAGG
rnacentral:rRNA from 1 species